ACUCCUACGGGAGGCAGCAGUGGGGAAUAUUGGACAAUGGGCGCAAGCCUGACCCAGCGACGCCGCGUGGGGGAAGAAGUCCCUCGGGACGUAAACCCUGCAAGUGAGGGACGAAUAAUGUUGGGCUAAUACCCCAACAGAUGACGGUACCUCAUGUAAGCCCCGGCUAACUACGUGCCAGCAGCCGCGGUAAU
rnacentral:rRNA from 1 species